rnacentral:rRNA from 1 species
GUUAAAAAGCUCGUAGUUGGAUUUCUGCGGGGGCGGGGCGGCCGGUUGCUUAUAGCAACUCGAGCUAGCACUUCCCCUGCAUCCUGCCGCGAACCGUGCUACCAUUAGUUUGGUGGCGCCGGGGAUCGGCUCGUUUACUUUGAGAAAAAUAGAGUGUUCAAAGCAGGCCACACGCCUUGAAUAAGUUAGCAUGGAAUAAUGAUAAAGGACUUCGGUUCUAUUUUGUUGGUGUUCGGGACUGAAGUAAUGAUUGAUAGGGACAGUUGGGGCGGUCCGUAUUCCAAAGCGAGAGGUGAAAUUCUUAGACCUUCGGAAGACGAACAGCUGCGAAAGCGUUCCGCAAGGAUGUUCCCUUUGAUCAAGAACGAAAGUUGGGGGAUCGAAGACGAUCAGAUACCGUCGUAGUCUCAACUAUAAACUAUACCAGCUAGGGAUCGGCCAACGUUUACUUACACCGACUUGGUCGGCACCUUAUGAGAAAUCAAAGCAUCUGGGUUCCGGGGGGAGUAUGGUCGCAAAGCUGAAACU